rfam:Sorangium cellulosum So0157-2, complete genome.
GAACCCGCGAGGGGGCGUCUGGUGGAAGCUGUAGGUGCACGACCGUGUCGAGCGAGAGCGAAGCGCCGUGAGGCGUCUGCGCCGGGUGAGCCGGCUGCCAGCGGUGAAGCCCGAUCUCCGUCGGAGGCGCAGGCGUAGGGGCGACGGGAUGGUCGUGAAGACUGUGGG